ensembl:lncRNA
GGUGUCUGCUAUUAGGUUAAAAGUUUCCUUGGAGUAGAUCCAGUUCUUUUUAACCUUUUUUGAUAAGUAAUAGCUUUCAAAGUUCUGGCUUGAAGAUUUUUGUUUUGAAUUAGGAAUUCUUAUCUCUACAUAAUUUGAACAAUCCCAGACUAUAUGGACAUGGCCCAAGUCUACUAGACAGCUGCCCUUCAUUAUAGCGGUGCUGCUUGAAAGCCUAGAGGAGAAUUCAGGCAGCCCUAGCAGACCAGGCGGCCAAACCAAGAACAUCCAGCAGCUACUGUGAGACUAUUCUACCACUUCUCUUAAUCCAAAUACAGCUGCCAAGUCACACUGUUCUCUCAGUUAGUCCUGGUUUAUGGCUCAACGCACUUUGCAUGGAUCAGUCCAUUAGCCCUUGGCAUUCCUCUGAGUCAGGAAGCUGACAAGUGGAACUAACCCAGUUUCCAAAUGUGCACUCAGAGGCAACUGCAACAGGAUCACUAAUUCAGGCAGCAAAGCCAUACACACAUGGGAACCAAGGCGGUAUCAAAACGUUCCGUAGGACCCAAUGUAAUGUCCUCCCAGCACUGGUGUUCUGGUAAGUAGCAAAGACACACUCUGUGACAAGAUACAACACCUCUACAUGGACUCCUUCUCAUUCCAGCACUCAGAAGUAAACAGGCUGACUUUAGGCAACAUCAUCCAGGUAAGGGAGUUUUGUCUCCUGGGUCAUCUUCUCUCCAAAUCAGUUUCCUUUCAACUAUGGCCAAGAGUUUGAGCAAGCCCUGGGAGAUGGUGAAGGACAGGGAAAGCCUGGCAUGCUGCAGUCCAUGGGGUCACAGGGAGUCGGACCCGAUUUAGUGACUGAACAGCAACAAUGGCCAGGAGUAUGGACUCUAGGACUAGAAAUGCCAGAAUUCAAGUCUUGGUCUCACCCCCAUGACUCUGCUGCUGCUGCUAAGUCACUUCAGUCAUGUCCGACUCUGUGCGACCCCAUAGACGGCAGCCCACCAGGCUCCCCCGUCCCUGGGAUUCUCCAGGCAAGAACACUGGAGUGGGUUGCCAUUUCCUUCUCCAAUGCAUGAAAGUGAAAAGGGAAAAGUCGGACACAACUGAGCGACUGACACGUUCUUUCACUUUCAUAGAAGUCAGGAGGAACCAGGAGGAAGCAGCCAGAGAGAUGCAGAAGAGAGAUCAGUGAGGAAAUAGAAAAAUGAAGAGAGUCUGGCAUCUUAGAAAUCAAGUGAAGAAAGUAUCAAGUAGAAGCGGGUGAUGGACUGUGUCCAGGCGGCUGAGAGAUCAAGCACAGCGAGCACUGACCUUUACAUUCAGCAGCACAGAGGUCUUUGAUGACCUUUACAAGCUGAGUUUAGGUGGGGAAUUAGGGCUGAAAAACGAACUGAAAUUGACAUGAGGAAGGACUAAACUUGGUAACAAAAUAACCUGAUCUCUUUGUGCUCAGGGGAGCAAAGAAGCCAAGCAGUUGCUGGUGAGGGAAGUGCACUCAAGAGAAGAUUUUCUUGACAGGAAAAGUACGCUA